rnacentral:rRNA from 1 species
CCUACGGGGGGCAGCAGUGAGGAAUAUUGGUCAAUGGACGAGAGUCUGAACCAGCCAAGUAGCGUGAAGGAUGACUGCCCUAUGGGUUGUAAACUUCUUUUAUAUGGGAAUAAAAUGUUCCACGUGUGGGAUUUUGUAUGUACCAUAUGAAUAAGGAUCGACUAACUCCGUGCCAGCAGCCGCGGUAAUACGGAGGAUCCGAGCGUUAUCCGGAUUUAUUGGGUUUAAAGGGAGCGUAGGUGGAUUGUUAAGUCAGUUGUGAAAGUUUGUGGCUCAACCGUAAAAUUGCAGUUGAAACUGGCAGUCUUGAGUACAGUAGAGGUGGGCGGAAUUCGUGGUGUAGCGGUGAAAUGCUUAGAUAUCACGAAGAACUCCGAUUGCGAAGGCAGUUCACUGGACUGCAACUGACACUGAGGCUCGAAAGUGUGGGUAUCAAACAGGAUUAGAUACCCCUGUAGUC